CCAGGAGCUGAAGGGACCAGCUUGGCCAUCAGUCACAAGGAUGUGAGGCAGAAGCAACACAAAAGAUCUUGAUAUGAAGCAAUUAUUUUUGGCCUUAAACUGCUGGGACUCCAGAUGACCCAGACCAUGGUUGGCAGGCAGAAGCCAGUGUUGUGCUACCAUUACUACUAUUUCCAAAGUGUUUUUAUCACUCUGAACUGAAACUCCAUGGCCGAAUGAAAUGGGUCAACUGACAUACUGCAUAAAUCAGUGAACCAAUAUUUUCUAAAUGUAACAUGCAUGAUACUACAAAAUCACACAUAGAUGAAAAUAAAGUGGUCUUUGAAGAACUUUGAUUCAUUAGUGAGCUUGAAAACCAAACACAAGAAACAGAUUGUGGAAGUUGGAAGAGGGUCCCUAAGGAUGCAUUUAAGGAGAAAUGAUGUGACAGAAGAUUUGAAAGUAAAAAAAGAGUCUAUCAGGAAGAUAAGAAAGCAAUUAUUAAACAAAAAUUAAGAUGCCGAUCUCCCUCCCAAGUUUCUAACCUUCGGUAACAUGAUUGAUUCACACUAGUCAAAGAUGCUGAAUAUAUUUGCUGCAUGCCAUUGGAAAACUAUAUAACUUGAAACUAAUAAAGCACCUCACUUCUCUUUACUGUCUUUCUUCAUUUACCCAAGUCACCUCUUUUAAGAGCCAUCUCUGAUUUGGCUACAGCACAUUCAUCUACACUGAUUGCUUGUACAAGGAAACAGUGCAACCCAGAAAUGUCAGAAACUGAAAGGUUGUCUUCUUGCUGUGUAAGAUUUACUGUGAACGGAGGGAGGAUGCUGAAAUAUGCUACAACCGUCGCUCCAGGGACAACCUCUGCCAAACAGAGAUAUUAUACUGACGAAAUGAUAAUGGUGAAAUAGCUGACAGACCAAAUAAUUAGAAUAUGGAGCCGUAAUACAGUAAAGUAGUCUUCAUAUAUUUUAUAUAGUUUGUAUUGUUCUAUAGAUUGUUUGGAGUUUGUGUCCAAUGAAAAUGGAUUAAGAACAACCUGGGAUACUCAGCAAUAACAACACACAAACACGUGUAUACACACCAAUGAAGCUUGCGUUAUUCAAUAAAAGUGUUCCUGAUACAUUGCAUGUAAACUGAUUUUGUAUGGUCGAAUAAUAUCUUAAAUGAUGAAGGAAUUCAUUAAAUAAAUAUGAGAUAUUAGUUAAAAUACAUGUGAAAUUUUAAAUCAUGUUCCAUCAGUAAAUACAAUUAUUACUUUU